rnacentral:rRNA from 1 species
AUUGAACGCUGGCGGCAGGCCUAACACAUGCAAGUCGAGCGGAUGAAGGGAGCUUGCUCCUGGAUUCAGCGGCGGACGGGUGAGUAAUGCCUAGGAAUCUGGCUGGUAGUGGGGGAUAACGUCCGGAAACGGGCGCUAAUACCGCAUACGUCCUGAGGGGGAAAGUGGGGGAUCUUCGGACCUCACGCUAUCAGAUGAGCCUAGGUCGGAUUAGCUAGUUGGUGGGGUAAAGGCCUACCAAGGCGACGAUCCGUAACUGGUCUGAGAGGAUGAUCAGUCACACUGGAACUGAGACACGGUCCAGACUCCUACGGGAGGCAGCAGUGGGGAAUAUUGGACAAUGGGCGAAAGCCUGAUCCAGCCAUGCCGCGUGUGUGAAGAAGGUCUUCGGAUUGUAAAGCACUUUAAGUUGGGAGGAAGGGCAGUAAGUUAAUACCUUGCUGUUUUGACGUUACCAACAGAAUAAGCACCGGCUAACUUCGUG